rnacentral:tRNA from 1 species
GAAGGGAUAGCUCUGUGAUAGAGUGCCUGUCUAGCUUGCACGAGGUCCUGGGUUCAAUCCCCAGUGCCUCCA